GGAAGGGGUGUAUUUAUUAGAUAAAAAACCAAUGCCCUUCGGGGCUCCUUGGUGAAUCAUAAUAACUUAACGAAUCGCAUGGCCUUGCGCCGGCGAUGGUUCAUUCAAAUUUCUGCCCUAUCAACUUUCGAUGGUAGGAUAGUGGCCUACCAUGGUGGCAACGGGUAACGGGGAAUUAGGGUUCGAUUCCGGAGAGGGAGCCCGAGAAACGGCUACCACAUCCAAGGAAGGCAGCAGGCGCGCAAAUUACCCAAUCCCGACACGGGGAGGUAGUGACAAUAAAUACUGAUACGGGGCUCUUUUGGGUCUCGUAAUUGGAAUGAGUACAAUCUAAAUCCCUUAACGAGGAACAAUUGGAGGGCAAGUCUGGUGCCAGCAGCCGCGGUAAUUCCAGCUCCAAUAGCGUAUAUUAAAGUUGUUGCAGUUAAAAAGCUCGUAGUUGAACCUUGGGUCUGGCUGGCCGGUCCGCCUCACCGCGAGUACUGGUCCGGCUGGACCUUUCCUUCUGGGGAAUCUCAUGGCCUUCACUGGCUGUGGGGGGAACCAGGACUUUUAC
rnacentral:rRNA from 1 species